AGUAGAGAAACACAGAGAAGUCUAGGCAGGACUGGCAGACUACAGCAAUGCCUCAACCAAGAAGCCUCUGCGAGAGCUUGUUCUAGGAAUUUUCAUCAAUGGGGCUUUUAGUCAGCAGGGUCUUGAGUUGCAGGGAUUCCAGUCUGUUAGAGCCACAGCCAGAAGCCAUAGCCUGAGCCAGCUACAUUCCUGGCAGUCGCAAGCGAAAAAGAAACAGUUUGGAGGAGUUGGCAACAAGUUCUAAUGUUCAUGGACCUCAAAACCAGGGAAUGUAUCCACAUCAAGUUCUCAACUACAUCUACUGGAAAAGGGUUAAGAUCUCAUCUAAUGAUGCUUAUCAAAACUUAUUUUUGGACGGGCAUGAUAGCAACAUUAAAAUCCGUGCUCUGGGAAGAACAUGGUGUUUACACAAAGUAUUUUUAUGUCAGUCAGGCUACUUUGCUAACAUUCUCAAAGGUACUUGGAGAGAAUCACACCAUGGUGUUAUAAAUCUGAUCAUUAAGAAUGAGGAUAUUGAUACCCGAUCUCUGCAUUUUGUGUUUGGUGCUUUGUACACGGAUGCGGAUUUGUCAAUAACACCUCUGGAAGUUCCUCAAGUUUUGGCAGCAGCAUGCCUGCUUCGGGUGGAUCGAGUAAUUCAGCAGUGUGAAGGAAUCAUGAAAGAAACUAUCAACAGGAACACUGUGUGCUCCUAUUAUUUGGCAGCAGAAACCUAUAGAUUAAAAGCUGUAAACAUGAGAUGCUUUGAAUGGCUUCUUUGCAAUUUGAUGGUACAUCCAAGUGUGGCACUUUACAAGGAAGUAGAUUUGAAGUUGAUGUAUCUUCUAGCACUGUCUUCUGACUUACUAGUCAUGCAAAAGGAGAUUGAUGUAUAUACCACACUAAAAAUAUGGAUGUUCCUUUAUCUUAAUCCAUGCUGGAACGGAACCAUGAAACAGCUUUUACAACACGCAAACAACUGGCUUUCCACCCACAUGGCAUAUGUUGAUAACAUCAGUUUUCUUGAAAGUGAAGAAGGACUAAUAUUUCAACCCGUGUUUAAAAAGCUGAGAUUUCAGCACAUCAUCUGUGACUUGACUUCCACAACUAUUCUUGAACAAGAUCGACUAAUAACUAUGGCAUGGUUGUCACCCAUUUACAAACAACAGUGGUUGACUUUGCUGCGAACACAAGAAUAUGGGGUAAUUGGACCACAAGUUAUCAAUGAACAAGAACUUGAAGAAUGCACCAUGAGGUGUGGUACAAUGAUCCCCAAGGAUGGAAGAUAUACUUGGAAGUGGUCAUUUGGACGACUUGGCUUUCCUUUACGUGUGACCUUUACCAGGCAGUGUGUAAUUUUAAGGCAACGGUGUCAGAGGUGUGAUGGUUCUGCUUGCCACAACCAUAUCCGAAAUGUCAUAUUCAGAAUAACUUUGGUGUGUUUUGAUUCCAACAAAUGAGUAACUUUCAGAAAGACAACAGGUUAUAAAAUCCUCACCUUUGAAUAUAAGGAGGAGCAAAUUGUAAUGAAAUUGGAUAGUGAUGUUCUAACCUUCCCUAUGUGUAUAUUCUGCAAUUUCCUUUUUGUCAACCUAGGAAAUGCAGAAAACAAGUAAUCUUAUCAAUUAUUAGACUGUAAGCAUUUUACAAGUAUUGAAUGGUUCAUUUAAUAUGAAGGCUGUGUAAUGACUACAGUGAAGAAGACCAAAAACAAAUUCAAUAUUCCUUGGAGUCUAGUACCACCAGAAGUGACUGCUUCCCUCCAUCACCUUAUUUCCAUGUAUUUCUGAAGAAAACCUUUACUUCCAACAAAGUAUUUGUCAAAUCAAAUAAACCUAAUCUUCUGAUUUAAAUUUACCAUCGAGAUCCAAGCUUGGAAUGGAAAUAAGAGACUAUAUUUGCAAGGUAAAACAUCUCAAUCAAUUUGUUAAGUAGAUUUGGCCCUAGCUAAAAUUGAGACAAAAUAAAAUCAUGCCAUUGUUGAAACUGUUGUGAACCAAUGCAUUCAUUAUGACAUUA